UACAGUAUGUAGUACGCAUUCUACCUUUUCCUACAAUGAAUCCACCAGCAGAAAUUCCUGUACACAUCUUAUCAACAAAGAAUUUGAACCUCAAAGAGUUCUGGUGCUGGUGAUUAUUAAGUUCUUCACACUUCUCUCAUAGUGGAGCUUAAGAUUCUCACUGUGUUACCUAGGCUGCAGUGCAGUGGUGCGAUCUCAACUCACUGCAACCUCUACCUCCUGGGUUCAAGCAAUUCUCCUGCCUCAGCCUCCCAAGUAGCUGGGAUUACAGAGCUCAUGGUUUUUAAACAACUUGUGGUAAAAAUCUGGUGGAAAAGAUAACAACAGUAUAUGAUAUGGCAGAGUUGCACAGAAGAAUCAGAACAUUGUUUUAGAGAAACGUUGGGCAAUUAAUUAAGCCAGCUGAUUAAGUUUUAAAGAAGCUAAACCAUAUCAUGUCGAAAUCAGAGGAGCGAUGAAAGUGUGAGUGGUGGUAUUUCUGCUGUUCUCCCCCCUGAAGGCUUCUGCGAUUAGCUUCUAUGCCUUCCUUCCCUUAUGGGCAUUCAGAUCCAAACUACUUGCAACUGUAGACAAGGAGGAAGAUGGAACUUGGAGAAGACAUACAGGCUGAAGAAAAAAAAAUAUUUUGGAAGUGAUCAGCACAUUCUAAUUGACCAUGGAUGCUCUCUGCAUUCAUGUGGUAACCCAGGGAGAGUAUGGAGUGAAAAGAGGAUCACCAAAGAAACUUGGGGUAUCUCAACAUUUAGGAAGUGUGCAGAGAAGAUGAGAUCAUUAAAAUGUACCAAGAGGUUAUAUUUAAAUGUUAGAGGGAAAUCAAAAGAAUGGCACCACAAAAAUCAAGGGUUGGACUUCUUUAUAAUUGUUUGGCUGAGUUUUUAGAUGGUGAACUUAGAACGUACAACUUGAGGGAGUCAUUUAUAGGAAGUGAUAACCCAAAUAUUGUAACGUAACUUCAAUUACUGAUGCUAAUAAAAUUUUCAGAGUGUG
rnacentral:lncRNA from 10 species